UACGGAGGAUGCGAGCGUUAUCCGGAUUUAUUGGGUUUAAAGGGUGCGUAGGCGGGAUGCCAAGUCAGCGGUAAAAAUGCGGUGCUCAACGCCGUCGAGCCGUUGAAACUGGCGUUCUUGAGUGGGCGAGAAGUAUGCGGAAUGCGUGGUGUAGCGGUGAAAUGCAUAGAUAUCACGCAGAACUUCGAUUGCGAAGGCAGCAUAACGGCGCCCUACUGACGCUGAGGCACGAAAGCGUGGGUAUCGAACAGG
rnacentral:rRNA from 1 species